rnacentral:lncRNA from 1 species
GAAGGACAACAUAAAAUCCAGUUAUUCCUAUGGCUAGUUGUUAAGAAAAUGCAUUUAUACUUUAUGUCUGAAAUGAAUUAAUCUGAACAAAAUCUAAUAAUUUUCUUAUCAUAUUCAUGAUUAGGAUAAGAAACAAGGAAAAAAGAGAAAGAAAAAAAAAUAUCACACCUUACAGAAGUCAUCCGAAAGCUCUGGUUCAGACUCUGAUUCAGAUAGCAAGGAUAGUUUAAGAACUAAACGGACAAAGGAAGAUUAUGAAAGAGACAAGGAUUCAAAAAGUCUUGUUAGGAAAAGAAUAAAAGCAGACCAUACGGAAGAAUUAUUGCCAUCAGACUCUUCACUGGAAUCGAUUGAAACAGAGGAGGUACAAGCAAAAAAGAAGAAAAACAGUGAAGAAAAAGAGAAAAACGUAAGCUUAUUUUUAUCUGUCUAAGAACUCCCUAUUUCAAUUGCUCUAAUUUCUCGUGACUCUACUGUAUCAAUAAUUGGAUGAUUUUCAAUUAUUACAUAAUGCACAUAAGAUAUAGAUAAAUACUUAAUCCCCAUUAGAGUAAAAAUACUAGUCAGAAAAUAGGAGGACUGCAAAGGAGUACAGUGCCUGGAAUGUUUGACAGAAAUGUGGCAUAGAAAUCUAAUAAAUAAAUAAUGAAUACUACA